UAUAUCUAUGUGUUUAGUUUUGUUUUGUCUGAUUUUAGUUUUUGACUUUUCUUUUGCAGGUCCAGAUUGUCCAGGAUUUUAAAUUUGUCCGGUGGGAUUUGGGAAGGAAAGCGAUGCCAUGGAUUUAUAAGAAGCAUCGUUGGGGAGGUUCGUGUAUGUCGGGAUAUUUUCAUUAUACCACUACUAUUAUAAAGAGGUCGAAUUUGAGGGUCACCAUUUUGGCCUUUUGCCGGGCCGGCAGCGCCACACCCAGAAUUCAGAAGGGCGAGGGGGCAUUCCGACAUGGAAACGGCAUCAAAACAUUAUACGUUUUUAAUGUUUUAAGUGCCAAAAACAUCGUAUUCUGUUGCGUCUAGUAGGGAUAUUGUAGUUGCUACCGGGAAAAAAGUUGAAUUCAGGGGUCACGAUUUUGACCUUUUGCCGGGUCGGCAGCGCCGCACCAAGGGUCAAUAAAAUCGAGGGUGCUUCUUGACAUGGGGACGGCAUCGAAAAUUUUGUGCAUUUUUAUAUAUAUUAUUAUAUAUUACACUGUUAUGUGUUUUGAUUAAAUUAUUACAAUCUUUAACGGAGAUUUCGUCAAUAUUGCAUUUCUGAGGGAAAAAAGUCAGUUUUAGAGGUUUCUAUUUCGACCUUUUGCCGGGUCGGCGGCACCACUCCUAUGGUCUGUAAAAACGUGGGGGAAUCCCAAUAAGGAAACUGCGUCAAAACAUUGCCUGUUUUUUGUGUUCUUAGUGUCAAAAAGUUGGUUUGUCCAUUACGCCAAGUCGGGUCGUCUUUUGUCAUCGAGUACAGCUUUCGGGGAGAUUGCCGCUGAUUGUUUCAGGACCUUACAAAGGAUCUACAGCAAAAGGAUCUGCGGCAAAAGGUUCAGAUAAGUGACGUUGUGCAUACGCUGCUGCAAUAAGUCGACUUAGUUUCGUCAUGUUUUUGCCGCACGUAGGUCCUUCGCGUGUCCGUCUGCUUCUAGAUACAUCUUUGCUAGUCUUGUUAGGUGACAUCCUUCAUAUGCGCUUCGUCGGAAUCAGCAGGGAUGAGUCGUCGAGGGGGUACUUCGUCCGUGUUUCGCAGGUCAUUAGGAUAGAGAUGAGGGCACUUUGCUGUCGCUUGGGUAUUAUUGUUUCAGUGAAAUAGCCCGCAUCCAUAGCUUUAUUGUAGAUUUUGAGUAAUGAACAUGUCUUGAUUGAUAACUUGUAAUGUGUGUUAACUGCUUUGACAGGCUUUUCCUUUGGUUUUAAGCCCAAAUACCAGAGGAUAUACCCUCAAUUUAGUUUUUUUUUUUUUUUUUUUUUUAGAAUAAAGAGCAGUUAAGCAUUUCAAAUACGUAAUAUUCAGCCAUAAAUUGCUGCAAUAAGUCGACUUAGUUUCGUCAUGUUUUUGCCGCACGUUGAUCCUUCGCGUGUCCGUCUGCUUCUGGGUACAUCUUUGCUAGUCUUAUUAGGUGACGUCCUUCAUAUGCGCUUCGUCGGGGUCAGCAGGGAUGAGUCGUCGAGGGGGUACUUCGUCCGUGUUUCGCAGUUUAUUAGGAUAGAGAUGAAGACACUUUGCUGUCGCUUGGGUAUUAUUGUUUCAGUGAAAAAGCCCGCAUCCAUAGCUUUAAUGUAGAUUUUAAAUAAUGAACAUGUCUUGAUUGAAAACUUGUGAUGUGUGUUAACUGCUUUGACAGGCUUUUCCUUUGGUUUUAAGCUUAAAUACCAGAGGAUAUACCCUCAAUUUAGUUUUUUUUUUUUUUAGAAUAAAGAGCAGUUAAGCAUUUCAAAUACGUAAUAUUCAGCCAUAGAUUCCUAUUUUGUUGUAUGAGCUGCAUUUUUAAGGAGCGGUUUGUGUCGACGUUUGUUAAGGUUCAUAGUCAGGGAUGACUAGUUUGAUCACUGUGGGGGGUUGGCCGAGCAUUAGUUCCAUGACCCUUUCUUUGGUGAUCAUUCCUUUUUUGUACAUUUUGCUGAAUUUGUUUAUGAGUAAUUCGCACCAUCUAUCUGGUGGUCCUUUCUCCAGGGCUUUUUUCCUUUCUUCUUUUUCCCUUUCCUUCCUUUCCUCCUCUGCUUUACAGUCUCUCGCUUCCAUUUCUUCGUCAUCCAGUUGAAGAAGAGUAGGAAGGGUCUGUCUAUAGUCGUCCCUUAAUUUAGAGACUAUUUCUAAUUCCUCUAUAUCCGUGUAACUGUAUAGUGAUUUGUACGUGGGUUCGUCAGGAGGCUUUGGGAUGUUUUGUAGGAGGGGCAGUAGGUAUUUUGUGUAUUGAUUUGCAUACCUAGUUCUACUUGUUGCCAGUCUAAUGGGCUUAAAGGAUUUUGUCAGCAGUUCUUUUAUUAGUGGAUUUUCAUGGUCGGCAAUGGAGUUGGCGUAUCGUUUGCUGGCCUGGUCAAAUACUUCUUCGAAAGAUUUUAUUUUAUACUUUUCCCUAAUUGUUGAUUGUUUGGUGUAUCUGUUUGCUUUAAUGAUCCUUCUUAUGAGUUUGUUUUCUAGGGUUUGUAUUUUUUUGGUUUGGGUGGCUGAUGUGAGGGACCCCCAGAUCGCAAUGGCAUAGUGCCAUAUGGGGGAGAUAAUUUGCUUCCACAGGAGUAGUUUUGUCCUUUUAGGUAGGUGGCUGUUUUUACCUAAAAGCCAU